ensembl:lncRNA
CAGGUUUUCCUAAUAAAGCAUGUAGAGGUCUGUACUUUUUAUCAUAGGUACACUUCAACUGUGAGACACGGAAUCUAAAACAAAAAUCCAGAAUCACAUUGUAUGAUUUUUACACCCUCAUCCUCAACCAGGUUGAACCCCCGAUAUCCCCCACCACCCAGGGGACCAGCUUCUCCCCCAUCCUCAACCAGGUUGAACACCCAAUAUCCCCCACCACCCAGGAGACCAGCCACACCCUCAUCCUCAACCAGGGUAAACCCCUGAUAUCCCCCACCACCCAGGAGACCAGCUUCACCCACACCAAACCAAAGAAGACGGGGAGAAAGUCCUGUCUCCCUGUCACCCUCAAAAAACCCUCCAACUCGCUGAGCAUGACACAGUCAACCCCAUCCAACCCCAUCCUACCCCGACCAAGGAAGAGGAAAUAUGACUACAUGCAUAAAGUGUCCAGUGCAUCCGGGGCAAACGAUUUUCCCUAUUCUCAAGAUUCUUGCCAAUAGACCUUCAAAGGAGGGCCAACAUGGAUGGUGCUUGUCAGGCAACCACAUAUCACCUCUGGUACAUCCAAUGGGGGAACUUUGCAGGUGUAGAGACAUCGCUGUCUUCGUAGUGAAGCUGUUUCGGCAGAGUCUCUACAUCACAGAAUAGCCCUUUUCACAUUGCAUGACUGACAGAUCUUCUGAGAAACAUGCUCUGCAGCCAGCAGAGAAUCUACAAUCUCAGGCCUGGACUCCCUCCUGUGAGAGUUCCUUCCUCACACUCCAACUGUGUGAUGAUGCACCAGGCACAGUAGGAUUUGAACACUCAGGGUCUUCUAAGUC